UUUAGACAAAGUAAUAGCAUGAAGUCUUGUGGAGAUCCAUUUUCAUGUUUCAAUGGGAGCAUAAAUUAUGGACAAAGCAGAAUAUCUGUCAACACCCAAUGCUGUAAUACAAAUCUCUGCAACAGUAAAGAUGCACCAGAGUUGCCAAGACCUCCCCUUAAUGGAAAGAGUUGUUAUUCCUGUGAUCAGACAAACUGUUUUAAAGUUUUGCCAUGUGAAGGUGAUGAGAACCAAUGCUUUACUUUCAUAGUUGAGGUAAAUGGCAAGAAUGACACUCAGAAAGGAUGUUCAAGCAAGCUGUUCUGUGGCAACUUUGGAUCGCGAGCCAAUAAAGCACUUAUGCAGGGACGUAGUUCGAGUUAUUUUGACAUGAAAUGUUGUGAGGGAAACCUGUGUAACAGUGCCCAGAGCAUGAGAGUUUUCUUUGUUCCAAUGGUAUUUCUAAUCGUUCUAUACUUAUCAUCAAAGAUAUUGUAACAAAUGGAAAUUAUGAUGUCCUCCUUUUAAUGGCCACACAGUUUGGGUGUGCACAAGAGAGCAUGAGGUGUGGCUGCACGCACCAUAUAGCUCUGUGUCAGUAAACAGCUUACAUUAAUCCAUGUAUAAAAUGUAAAAUGUAUUUAUAUAUUUAUAAACCUUUUUCUCAGUUUGCUUUACCAUUUUGAAGUCACACUGCUAAUAAUAGAAAGCAUCACGUUUGCCUUAACUGAGUGAAGACCACAAAAUAAACCACAUGUGGUAGAUGUUGUGAA